rnacentral:rRNA from 1 species
CACGCCGUAAACGUUGGGCACUAGGUGUGGGUUCCAACCAACGGAAUCCGUGCCGCAGCUAACGCAUUAAGUGCCCCGCCUGGGGAGUACGGCCGCAAGGCUAAAACUCAAAGGAAUUGACGGGGGCCCGCACAAGCGGCGGAGCAUGUUGCUUAAUUCGAGGCAACGCGAAGAACCUUACCUGGGUUUGACAUUCUGGGAAAAGCCGUAGAGAUACGGUGUCCGAAAGGGUCCAGAACAGGUGG